rnacentral:rRNA from 1 species
CAGCAGCCGCGGUAAUACGGAGGGUGCAAGCGUUAAUCGGAAUUACUGGGCGUAAAGCGUGCGUAGGCGGUUCGUUAAGUCUGUUGUGAAAGCUCCGGGCUCAACCUGGGAAUGGCAAUGGAUACUGGCGAGCUAGAGUGUGUCAGAGGAUGGUGGAAUUCCCGGUGUAGCGGUGAAAUGCGUAGAGAUCGGGAGGAACAUCAGUGGCGAAGGCGGCCAUCUGGGACAACACUGACGCUGAGGCACGAAAGCGUGGGGAGCAAACAGGAUUAGAUACCCCCGUAGUCCCUGUCUCUUAUAC